UGGAUGUACUGGAUUCCUUCCAGGAUCUGACGCAUGUAGUUCACAAUGUUGGGUUCCGUGUGCUCUAAGUUCUCAUCUACUAUCCGUUCAAACAACUCACCACCUGCAAUACUGCAAUGAGACAGAACAAGUACAGUUUAAGGAGACGGAUAUAUCUACUCACUACUCCAGAAUCAUGACGAUCUCAGACGGGGUGUCGUAGGCUGCGAAACACUGCACCAGCUUCGGGUGACGUAGUUCAUUCAUCAGUUUGAUUUCUUGACGCGCUGCCUUUUUAUCUCUGGAGACACGAGCCCGGUAGAAUUUCCCAGCAUACACCUGACCUGUUUGCUUAUGGGUCAUCCUGUACACAUCCCCAAACUUCCCUCUGUGGAGAUGUAAGAUGACGGUUUAAGAUAAAUAUAAAUAUCAAAUUUUAAACUUGAUUUAUGAGAUGGCUGAUACUCACACUCCCAGUUUUUCAUGGACAUGAUAAUGAUCCCUGACUUUGUGUGUAGUGUCAGGCACAACCUCCACAUAUGAGGUCACUUCCUGUUGUGGCUGACCUGAAACAUUAAUUUUGAUUUAAUUUCUUGCUUAAGCAUCACUGACUUCAAAAAGAAACACUAGCAUUCUGUGUGUGUAUAUUUGAAAUUAUGUAAUUAUAUAAACUACAUAAAAAUAUAAAUAUUCUUGGUUUUUGUAACUAUUCAUUCUUAUAGAAGGCAUAUACAUUUAUAAUUUAAAAUUAUAAUAUUUACAUGAAAUUCUAAGUGUUAGUACAAAAUUAGCAUUUAUAAUUUAAAUAUAAAUUGUAAUUAUAGAAUUUACACAUUAAUUUUUUUAAAGGAAAAUAUUUAAAAUAACAGAAUUCAUUAUACAUUUAAACAAUAUUUACAUUUUAAAUAUAAAUGAAAAUAUUUUAAUGCUUAAAUUUGCUCUCAUAUAUUCCAUGCAUACAUAAUUUGUACACACUAAAACUUAUAUACACUACAGAAACAUUCAGAAUAGCAUGGUAACUUCUAGUGUUUAAAAGCUGGGCAUCUGUCUACCUGCAGUGUUCAUCUUAAUGCAGUCUGACUCCUCACUGGGGUCACUGGCUCCCACUGCGUUACAGGCUCGUACUCUGAAGCGAUACUGUCCCUGCGGGUCCAGACCAGAGCGGACCCGAUACGAGGUGUUCUGACACUGGUUAGUGAUUUCAGUCCAGUCACCGGGCUCGGUUUGGUCCAGCCUCUGAAACUCUACCACAUAGGCUGUGAUGGCAGAACCUCCAUCAAAACACGGCCCAGACCAGGACAGAACCAGAGAUGAGCGGGUCAGCUGGGACACGAACGGACAAGAGGCUGGAGGGUCUGGACGAUCUGGGGAGAAAUAGAAACAGGAAGCCACAGGCCCAGAGCUUCUGAAAGGACAGUGCAGUCGAGCGGUUCCUCCAACACAAACCACAACCUGCUGCUGGGGAUCCAAAAACUCCGCUACAGCACCUGGAGAACAGAAAGAGAGGCUACUGACACACA